rnacentral:sRNA from 12 species
GUGAGGAGGACCCCACGUGAUGCGCAGCGUCACGUUAUAAUGGGGUCCGACGACCUGCCGCCGACGUCGAAGACGGAGGGGGCGAUACCAAAA